rnacentral:rRNA from 1 species
GACGAACGCUGGCGGCGUGCUUAACACAUGCAAGUCGAACGGAAAGGCCCUGCUUUUGUGGGGUGCUCGAAUGGCGAACGGGUGAGUAACACGUGAGUAACCUGCCCUUGACUUUGGGAUAACUUCAGGAAACUGGGGCUAAUACCGUAUAGGAGCUCCUGCUGCAUGGUGGGGGUUGGAAAGUUUCGGCGGUUGGGGAUGGACGCGCGGCUUAUCAGCUUGUUGGUUGGGUAGUGGCUUACCAAGGCUUUGACGGGUAGCCGGCCUGAGAGGGUGACCGGCCACAUUGGGACUGAGAUACGGCCCAGACUCCUACGGGAGGCAGCAGUGGGGAAUAUUGCACAAUGGGCGGAAGCCUGAUGCAGCAACGCCGCGUGCGGGAUGACGGCCUUCGGGUUGUAAACCGCUUUCGCCUGUGACGAAGCGUGAGUGACGGUAAUGGGUAAAGAAGCACCGGCUAACUACGUG